AUUUUACUUUUUCAAAUAAAGUCAAUAUGAAAAUUAUUGGAUAUAUUACCUUUAAUCAAAUUUAGCGGGACUGAAUAAUGAGCAAAUACAAAUCACCAAAUUUGAAAAUGACAUCAAGGAUGUUAGGCAAUAUGGCGGCGAUCAAAAACUGGGUUGUUCAGAGAAAUAUAAAAUUAGCCUAAAUGUUUUCCAUUGAAUUGAGAAAGACAAAAGAUCAGAGUUUGAUAUUUUAACUUCAUUUCUUAAGAUCAACUUUAAGUGAAGGUAAGAUAAGAGGUCGGUCAUCAUUGCCAACUCCAGCGAAAGGUCCUGAUUUGGGCUUGCUGCAUUCAGCAUACAGACUGUUAACUCCAGGAAAUACUGUCAUAUUAUUUCAAGAAAAAAUCAAAGUGGUCGCCAUUUCAGUUUCCAGAGUUCUUCUCCAAGUUUCUCAACAACAUUGGAUUACCUGAAAUUCAUAUUUACAGUAGGACAACAAGAGAGAAUCUAACAGAUCUAGGUCGGAUAAACACCUUUAGAAUGGUCAUAGUGAGAGACUAUGAUUGAGCAAUAUGGCAGCGGCAGCAAACAAUCCUCAUCCUAAAUUUAAAGAAAUAGACAAGGAAUACCGAAAGCUCCUGUUUGAACUAAGUCAAAAGUUGACUCGUGACAAUAGUGAACGUUUGGCUUAUGUACUCAAAUUCCAAGAAGAAUUUAAGACAAGUAUUGAGCUAUUGCACAAGCUUGAAAAAAUAAAUGUUUUCAGUAUUGAAAGGUUAGAUGAAUUGAAAAAAGCCUUUGAGGUUAUAAAACUCCAUGCACUGAAUGACUGUAUAGAGGAAUUUGAAACAUGGGCAAAGCCAUACCUGAACAAGCGUUUGAUAAGACGAUUUAGCUCUUGCGAUGGGUCCUGCCUGAUUGGUCGGGAAGCUGAACUUGAGGAGAUAAUCCAGACACUGAUGUCUGGUGGUCAAUCUAACCGUCGUGAUGGAAUCAACAGUGUAUUAUUGUAUGGGUUCCCUGGUCAUGGGAAAACAACGCUUGCUCUUGAAGCCUUAACACAAAUGAGUACUUAUGAACGAUAUCCCCAAGACUCGCUGAUUGAAAUAAAUUUGAAAAAUCAUGUCUCUUGCAAGGAAGUUUAUCAAAGCUUAAUGAAGGAACUUGAUUUGGGAGUCAUGUCGAAUCUCAAUGAUAGCAGGAAGGUGUUACAUGACUAUCUUAAAGAACUUGAUCAAGAUACAAUAAUAUUCUUUGACAAUGCGGAUGGUCUCCUACAGCCUGAGGGAGAUGAAGAACACAAAGCGCAGAGGAGCAUGUUUAUCAAAUUUCUUCGGCAUGUUAUAUGUAAGACAAGUCCCUAUGUGCGGGUACUCAUGACGUCGAGAUACGCACUACCUGAACCUACUCCAGGGGGCUAUAUACCGAUUCAUCAGAUGAACUUAAAGCGGUUGUCCCUUGAUGAGUCCAAAGAACUGUUGAACUUUAACCUUUUAACAGAAAGAACUGAGCGGAUACAAAUACAGCCUGAAGAGGAAGAUAGAAUUAUUGAGCUGUGUGAUAGGCAUCCCUUGGGCAUCAAGGUCGUAGCAAGUCGACUGAAGCAACUUACAAUUAAACCGAAGGAUAUCAUCAAAAUUCUGUCUCCAAACACCGAGCAUACCACUGCUCAGCAAAAAAGGGGGCGCUUUAGAGAAAAGAAAAAAUCAUCAAGCUCAUUUCAGCAACUUCACGAAGACCCCAACAUUUCUGAAGAUGAAAACCUGGAUUACAUUUUCCAGAAUAUGUUCGAAUACCUGAAGGACUUGCAAAAAUGUAGUCUCGUGUAUUUGGCAAUAUUUCCCGGAGCAUUUUCUGUACGUGAUGCAGCAGCCAUAAUGAAUGUUUCAGAAGAAGAUGCUCGUUUCCAACUUGAUUCGCUUAUCAAGUUGAAUUUUGUGGAACAGCAGACACCAUUGGAUUUCGGCACACAGAAAACGGGUCAAUUACGUUAUAACCUCCAUACUAAUAUUCAUCAUUUUUUAACUGAGUUGCCAGCUGGGUCUUUUAAGCUCGAAAAUGACCCACAAUCUUUAGCAGAGGUAAGAGCUGAAGGAAAGAACAACUUUAUGAAAUAUUUUCACAAACAACUUGGCAAAGUAUCCAAGUUGUCCGAUGAAAAUUAUCAGAAAGCAUACUAUAAGCUUCAAAGAAAUCGGGCCAAUUUUAAAACACUUUAUGAGUUCGACUUACUUGAGCCUCACUUUGAGAGUGAUUUAACAGAAUCAUCAUUUCUCCUCGAGAUGUUUCUCAUACCCAGACAGCGAAGGGAUUGGUUUGAACGUCGUGCAAAGGUCGCUUUUGAACGUGGCGAGAGAGAACGAUUUGUGACGAACCAAUGUACAAUGAUUGUCGUCCAAGCAGAUUUAAAUUGCAGAAUCGAUGAACUGGAACCGCUAUUAAAUGAAGUAAACAAUCACAUCUUAGCCUUCGAUGAUGGUUAUGUAAAACAACGAGUGUUACCGCUAUACUACAACGCAAGAGGGAUUUCCCAUUUGAAUUCUGGCGAUCUUAAUAUUGCAAUAGAAUCCCUUGAAAAAGCUUAUGAGAUCAGGAAGGAACUACUUCCUAAUACUUCAGUUACGUGUCGUACUUUGAAUGAUCUUGGAGCAGCAUAUUUUAAGAGAUCUUGUGUUCUGAAUUCUCCAACCCGGGCGACAGAUAUCGAAAAGAGCAUGAUGUAUCAGCUUAAUGCCGUCAACAUGAGGAAAUCUCUUGGGGUCAACCAUUUCGACUACCCCUUGUAUUUGCAUAACAUAGCUACUAACUACUACCAGCAAGGGAAGGACCAUUACGAAGAAGCUCUGCGUUACAUACAGGAAGCUCUUGAUAUUAACGACAGUCUGAAAAUGAUGACUUUUGCCAAAAAAGCAGACCUGUAUUUCACCCAGGCUUAUAUAAUUUUUCAAAAAGAUCGCAAAGCUGGCUUAAAAAAUGCCCUUGAGCCUGCAAAAAAGGCACUUGAGAUGAGAAAAAAAGCCAAAGGGAUUUGCACAGAAACUGCAAGAAGCUACUACCAAGUUGGCCUCAUAUUAUUCAAUCAGGCAAAAUAUCAGGAGGCGUUAGAUCAUUUUUAUGAACAAUUCAAACUUGAAUGUUCAGCUCUACGCAUGGGCAAAAAUCAUUCUGGAGAAAACUUCCAUAGUAUGAUGGAGAGAAUUAAAAACUGCUGUGAAAAACUUGGGAGAGAUCCUGUAUAUUAUCUCGAUGAGCAGGAGCAUGCUGAACAAGCUUUCAUGGAACACAAGGACAGAGGAACAUUGACAGAACAGCCUGAAGACCCCUUCUCAUCAUCAAGCUCUGAUGAUGAUCAGCCAAGUCCAAAGAAAAGAAAGGAUUACUUUAGGUUCUAAACUAAUCAAUGAUAAAUAUGUCAUUGUGAACUUAACAAUACAAUGGUGUCAGCUAAAACGUAUCACAAUUGAUGAAAUCGUGUCAACUAAAAUGUGCCAUAGCUCAUCGUACAGUCUGAUGGUGUCAACUAAAAUGCCAUAACUCAUCAUACAAUCAGUUGAUGUCAACGAAAAUGUGCCAUAACUCAUCAUACAGUCUGAUGGUGUCAACUAAAAUGUGACA
rnacentral:misc_RNA from 1 species